rnacentral:misc_RNA from 1 species
AGGAUAUCGAACGUCUGCAGCUGGAAAGGCUGAGAUAGUCAGUGCCAGCAAGUCUGUUAAGAUUCUGGAGCUUUCUGAUAUAAUGGUGUUGCAUUUGAUGCGCUUUAGCUAUGGAAGUGAAGGGAGUACCAAGUUGCACAAACCCGUGCACUUUCCUUUGGAGCUUGUGUUUGGUCGUGAAUUGCUUGACUCUCCUACUGAGGGUAGGAAGUAUGAACUAGUUGCAACGAUCA